rnacentral:rRNA from 1 species
UGGCCUUGACAUACUAAGAACUUUCCAGAGAUGGAUUGGUGCCUUCGGGAACUUAGAUACAGGUGCUGCAUGGCUGUCGUCAGCUCGUGUCGUGAGAUGUUGGGUUAAGUCCCGCAACGAGCGCAACCCUUUUCCUUAUUUGCCAGCGGGUUAAGCCGGGAACUUUAAGGAUACUGCCAGUGACAAACUGGAGGAAGGCGGGGACGACGUCAAGUCAUCAUGGCCCUUACGGCCAGGGCUACACACGUGCUACAAUGGUCGGUACAAAGGGUUGCUACCUCGCGAGAGGAUGCUAAUCUCAAAAAGCCGAUCGUAGUCCGGAUCGCAGUCUGCAACUCGACUGCGUGAAGUCGGAAUCGCUAGUAAUCGCGGAUCAGAAUGCCGCGGUGAAUACGUUCCCGGGCCUUGUACACACCGCCCGUCACACCAUGGGAGUUUGUUGCACCAGAAGUAGGUAGUCUAACCGCAAGGAGGACGCUUACCACGGUGUGGCCGAUGACUGGGGUGAAGUCGUAACAAGGUAAGCGUAGAUGA